UUUUAUGGAGAGUUUGAUCCUGGCUCAGGAUGAACGCUGGCGGCGUGCCUAAUACAUGCAAGUCGAGCGAACGGACGAGAAGCUUGCUUCUCUGAUGUUAGCGGCGGACGGGUGAGUAACAC
rnacentral:rRNA from 1 species